GCAGUGGGGAAUUUUGGACAAUGGGCGCAAGCCUGAUCCAGCAAUGCCGCGUGCAGGAAGAAGGCCUUCGGGUUGUAAACUGCUUUUGUACGGAACGAAAAGGCUCUGGUUAAUACCUGGGGCUCAUGACGGUACCGUAAGAAUAAGCACCGGCUAACUACGUGCCAGCAGCCGCGGUAAUACGUAGGGUGCAAGCGUUAAUCGGAAUUACUGGGCGUAAAGCGUGCGCAGGCGGUUUUGUAAGACAGGCGUGAAAUCCCCGGGCUCAACCUGGGAAUUGCGCUUGUGACUGCAAGGCUGGAGUGCGGCAGAGGGGGAUGGAAUUCCGCGUGUAGCAGUGAAAUGCGUAGAUAUGCGGAGGAACACCGAUGGCGNAGGCAAUCCCCUGGGCCUGCACUGACGCUCAUGCACGAAAGCGUGGGGAGCNAACNGGAUUAGAUACCCUGGUAGUCCACGCCCUAAACG
rnacentral:rRNA from 1 species